UAAAAUUGAAUAUAAUUCCAAUAAAAUAUUUAGAAUUUGAGUCAAAUUUAAAAGUAAUUUAAACUAAUUCGCCCAACAAAAUAUCGUAUAAUCCGUGUAAUUUGUACAAGAUUUGACGGAGAUAUCCCAAAUAAAAAAGAUAAAGAUAUGUAGUAAAAAGGGUAGUCCGAUAAAUAAGAUAUUUUGCAUUGGAACGGAAUUGGGAGAAGGUUGCCGACUUGCAACCAAGGGUGUGG
rnacentral:lncRNA from 1 species